rnacentral:rRNA from 1 species
UACGAAUGGAGCGAGCGUUGUUCGGAAUCACUGGGCGUAAAGGGUGCGCAGGCGGUCGUAAAAGUUAGAAGUGAAAGCCCAGGGCUUAACCCUGGAAUUGCUUUUAAAACUAUACGACUUGAGUACUGGAGGGGUUGGCGGAAUUCCGAGUGUAGCAGUGAAAUGCGUAGAUAUUCGGAGGAACACCGAUGGCGUAGGCAGCCAACUGGACAGUAACUGACGCUCAUGCACGAAAGCGUGGGGAUCAAACAGG